rnacentral:rRNA from 1 species
AUUGAACGCUGGCGGCAUGCCUUACACAUGCAAGUCGAACGGCAGCACGGGAGCAAUCCUGGUGGCGAGUGGCGAACGGGUGAGUAGUACAUCGGAACGUGCCUAGUAGUGGGGGAUAGCCCGGCGAAAGCCGGAUUAAUACCGUAUACGACCUGAGGGUGAAAGCGGGGGAUCGCAAGACCUCGCGCUAUCAGAGCGGCCGAUGCCAGAUUAGGUAGUUGGUGGGGUAAAAGCCUACCAAGCCGACGAUCUGUAGCUGGUCUGAGAGGACGACCAGCCACACUGGGACUGAGCAACGGCCCAGACUCCUACGGGAGGCAGCAGUGGGGAAUUUUGGACAAUGGGCGCAAGCCUGAUCCAGCCAUGCCGCGUGCAGGAAGAAGGCCUUCGGGUUGUAAACUGCUUUUGUCAGGGAAGAAAAGUUCUGGGCUAAUACCCCGGAGCGAUGACGGUACCUGAAGAAUAAGCACCGGCUAACUACGUGCCAGCAGCCGCCGUAA